UCUCGCAGACCCGGCGAAUGGGCAAGAUCCACGUGGCCGUCUCUGCCAUCUUGAAAAUGUGUCUGUGAAAUUGUUCACCAAAAAACUCAAUUUACUUGACAAAAAUUCGUAGUUCAACAGAAACAAUAUCACAGAAUCGAUGUGCUCCUGUGUUCUGCUGCCCAACAGAGACUGCCGCUUCUCAUUUCAACUUUCAAUUUCAAGAAAAUAAUUGACGCCAAAGAUGUUGUUCACGCGCUCUAUCCAGCCCAUUCUCCGCAGCUCUUCUCCAUACGAUGGCGACUCGACUUCAGUUCUUCAUUUAAUCUGUAACUUCAUUUUAUCUGUAUGAUCUUAUGAACUA